UAGCGAAUUGGGAGUCGUGAG
rnacentral:piRNA from 1 species